rnacentral:misc_RNA from 1 species
GCGAUUAUUAUAAAUUUAAUAUUAUAUCAAAACAAGUUUAAUAACUCUUAAAUUAAAUAUUAUCUUUUACUUUCCUAAGAACAAUAAAAUAAUAUUUUACCCUUAUUAUCUACCUUAUACAAAGUGAUGCCAUUUCUUCUUUCUUUGCAACUUAUAUCAUACAGAAAAUACUAAAAUAAGAGGCACUUUCACCAUUCUCUGUCUCUAUUCCCUCUUAAUUACAUCUCUACCAUUUUUACCUCUAUUAAUUACUUCACUUUUUUUGGUUUUU